UGUUAGAAGCAGAUAUUUUACAUUUUAAAUAUGUCUCUUUUGUUUGAUUUUUUCUGUGUUUGAUUAUGAAACCCCAUCUACUAACAUAUUAAAACAGUGUACAAAAUGUGAUGUUACUUGAACUUAUAUUCUACUUAUGUAGAGCUUUCUAAUAUUCCAUCUUUACGAGGCAGAGGGACAUUAUUCUUGGUUUCAUUAUUUUUUAAUUUAAUAUCUCUGGAUAUUUUCCAUAUUUAGUUUGCGUACAACAGUUAACAACUUCAAGCUUUUAUUAUUAUUACAUUAUUAUAUUACAUUAACUUUAGUUAUAACUUAAUUAAUAAUGAUUUGAUUUAUAGAUUUUUAAAGCAAUACAAGAUUGAAUUUAGCAUAAGGCUAAAUUUCUGCUCUAGAGACAAAAAAGGAAGACAGCGAAAAUGACCAGUCAAAAUAAAGAUUGAAGAGACAAAAAACUGUGUAUAUCUUGGUGUAGAUGAUUUAUCCUCAUUUUCUAAUAAUAAAACAAAAAAUAUUAUUAAACUUUGGGAUUUACCUGUAACUCCAAAAUCUUUACAGAAGUUUAAUGUUUGCUAUGAGAAGUUGAAUGAACAAAAUUAUUAAAUGUGUUCAUUCUUAGUCGUCAUUGAAGUACAACUUGGUAAACUACAAAACACAUCAAAUUCAGUUAUAAAAAUUUGAGUAACAAAGGUAUACUAAUUAUUGUAUUGCCUGAAAGAGUGUCAUUGCUAUUAAAAGCAGUAAAGAAUUCAAGUACUCUGGAAGAAAAGAAAAUACGUCAAUUAUUUGGCACAAAUCGGAAUUAAAGACAAAGGAGAUUGUAUAUUUUAUUUGCUAAGAAUAGUUUUUUAAAAUGGCCUAGUUGUAAAAUUAAACUAUGCAGGGAGAGGACAAAAAAUUGGAAUAGAAAAAAUAUUGAUUGCAUAUGCUGCUAUUGUUAAGUGGUUCAGAAAAGUUUAUUUUUUCAGUUUCAUUUUUGCAUUACAAACUUUCAAUUUGAUAUGUUUCUUUGGUGCAUAAUUAAACAAACAACUAUUUUUUUUGCAGAAACUGUGAAGUCAAAUAAGCAUGGCUUAUGCAGACAUGUGAUAGAGAUAGAGGAAGAAAAAAUAAUAGACGUGGGCA
rnacentral:lncRNA from 1 species